GAUAACCUUUUCAAGCCUAGAGAGAGGUCUAUAUCAGGCAGGGAGAUGCAGCUGAGGUCCAGACGAAUUUACAAAAAGCUACCAGAGGUGACAAAGAAAAAAGAGGAGGAGAAGAAGAGGACCAUAUCACAAAGCAACAGAUUGCGAGCAGACAUCUUUAAAAAGAGACUUCUGGACCAGAUACUGCAAAGAUAAAUUAGAGAAACCAGGAGGUGAAACUGUGUUAAUUCACUGACCAUCCUGGCUCUGAUGUAAAUUCAAUAGGAAUAUAUUUAAUUCAGUCAAUCUUCUAUGCAAAUCAUUUCCAUGCCUUGGCAUAUAUUCAUUUGAUUUAGGCUUGAUUUAUAUGAAAUAUCAUGUUCAAUCUUUACUUAUUCUAUCCUGACUGCUUAACAGUUAGAAUGAAUACAAAAUCCGAAACACAAAUUGGAUUUUGCAGAACAAGAUGAUGAAGUUAUGACGGUGACAAAAACACACAUUUUGAGUAAUUUUUCAUUAUUUUCCAACUUUGUAAUCUUAUUUGAUAUGUUCCAGAGAAGAUACAAUUCAAUCUAUGCCACAAUGGCAAAGACAAAUAAGCAUUUUCUUACCCAUAUUAAACUGUAUGGUAUUCUGUAUAUAAAAAUUGUAUAUGAUGUUCAAUAUAAAUAACAAUUGUUGUUGUGUGCAGACAUUGACAAAACCUAAACUUCUGACACCAACACACACACAAAUGAGAAUGAGGUUUACAGUUUUAUACGUUGAAAAAAUGCAAUUAUACCUUUCUUUACUGUUUAAAUGAAUACCCAAUGAUUAAAAGCAAUAGAGGCUAAUCUUGGCUCAUACCCUUUCUACUGUUUGUAUUCCUUAUCUACGAUAUCAUGUUUCUCUAAUGUAUCUCAAGAAUGAAAUAACAGCUUUCCAAGGACAUUCUGUGUAGGCAUAGUGUUAUUUUCCAGGAAAUUAAGAUUCUGCUUGGAGCCCAGCACCUUGACUAUCAUUGGUACGGUGCUCUGGGUGUGUACAGUUGGAGAGGGGUCAACCAUGUUGCGUCAUUGGCUUCACGUCUGCCUCGAGGCCUGUGGAUCCUCCCAUCCGGAACACUGGAAUUCCAAGCUAAUCGAACUCAGGAGACUCGCAACGCUGGUGAAAGGGAGCUUUUGUCAUAGAGCUCCAAACCAGAGAUGACAUUGUAAUAAGAGAGGCGAUUACUGAGCACAGCCUGUGACUGCAGUCCGCAUAUAGCCCGUAAAGGUGACUGACAUCUCUGUGGAACUGAGCCUGCUGGGCUGAGGAGGGAACAGGGGAAGGACAUGUGCCGCAGGUCUUAGACCACCGCGCUGUAUUAAUGCAUGCUGUAUCUGAAGUUGACUUCUUAA